ensembl:lncRNA
GCGACAUAUAGAUAGGACUGCUAAUCUUACAAGCAUUCUCAAGAUCGAUUGUCGGCAGUAGUUCUAUUCAUUCUAUCGCUGUAACUUUUCUCUCGUGUUGCUAUGGACAAGUUGUUUGACCUGGAUCUCCGUGACCCCCGCACAGAAGGAAGACACCUUGCCGUUGGGUUGAUGCAUGACCAAUUCCUUGCAGAAGCCAUGGAGGCUGCGGAGAAUGUCAAUCGGGCAAGAUCUGGAGGGGAUUCACCACGGAGCUCAACCAAACGGAGCGGACGCGGCAAGGCCAGAGGGAGACGUGGAGGCCGUGCGGGCCAUACAGGCCGUGCAGACCGAUGGAGUGGCCUAACUACAGGCAUGGACACUGAGGUGUUGGCACUUCCUUCAGAGGAUUCCUUGCCCUUACCCAGAGCACAGCAAAAUCCUCAAGAGAUGUUUGAACAAAACAUGGAGAGGCUUUCUGCCCUACUGGAUUCAAGCCCCUGUCCUGCUGAGCCUGAGAG